rnacentral:rRNA from 1 species
AUUGAACGCUGGCGGCAGGCUUAACACAUGCAAGUCGAGCGAGCGGCGGACGGGUGAGUAAUGUCUGGGAACCUGCCUGAUGGAGGGGGAUAACUACUGGAAACGGUAGCUAAUACAGCAUAACAUAAGAUGUGCCCAGAUGGGAUUAGCGAGUAGGUGGGGUAAUGGCUCACCUAGGCGACGAUCCCUAGCUGGGCUGAGAGGAUAACCAGCAACACUGGAACUGAGACACGGUCCAGACUCCUACGGGAGGCAGCAGUGGGGAAUAUUGCACAAUGGGCUCAAGCCUGAUGCAGCCAAGCCGCUUUAGUGAAGAAGGCCUUCGGGUUGUAAAGCACUUUCAUCGAGGAGGCGUUACUCGCAGAAUAAGCACCGGCUAACUCCGUGCCAGCAGCCGCGGUAAUAC